rnacentral:lncRNA from 1 species
UCGGGGUAGUGAAAAACUUCCUAGAGAGGUUACAGAAGUUCCUGCCAGCUGAAACAGCCUGAUAAACUCAGCCUUGCCAGGAUUAGACAUCUCAGCUCUACUGACACUCUGAAGAAUGUUCGUAGGUAAGCCACGAUUUGCCAACAGCAACGGCUGACAAACGAUUUCCAUUUAGAAUACAUGAAAGAUUUAAAAAUGAAACCAUAAAUGACAAGCGUCAAAUUAAGAGUGUGUGAAACAACUUGAAACUUUACAAAGGAGAUGGGAGUCUUGUGAGCAUGUGUGGCUAGUGAGCAUACAUGGCUAGUAAACUCGUGUAUAAAGCCAGGUGCUUCUGAGGAAAGGAGAUCUCAGCAGCUCACAGCCUGCGAGGCUGGAAGACACAAUGUGGACGUCCCAACUGCUUUAGUGUCUGGUGAGGCCCCUUUGGCUAUGUCAGAUAAUGAGAGAAUCAUCAUGGCAGGCACACACACAUACACAUACACACCACACAAACAUGCACACACACACAUUGGGAGAGUGCCUGUGGUGGGAAGGAAGGAAGGCAGGCAGAGGCAAAGUAAGACUUGGGCCAAACACCCACCCCCCACUCCCAGAGCAUAGCUCACUUGCCCAGCAAGGCCAGAACUGAACCCAUCUGAGGACAGGGCUCCCAGUGACUUUAUGUCCCACUCACCCUACCUCUAGCAGGGUCUACCACCUCUCACACUGCCAUGCCACACUGGCACACCGGGCUUUAGACACAUGGAUCCCUCUGAACAAUCAUAGACAGUAUCUAGACUCAGCAGCACAUGAGUAAGGGUUUGACAUCAUUGGAUCGGGGAAGCAGGAAGUCUAAUUCCAGUGAGUCACCACUGGAUACUGGCAAGGCCUUGGCUGAGGUGAGAACACUUGACCCUGGCUAUGGGGCAGGGUGUGGAAGAACUGAAUGCUAACACAUUACUGGCUGGAGUGUGAAGUGGCAUGACAACCCAGCGUGGCUGGGCAUUUUCUUCAAAGUUAAAAAUACAUAUAUCCUGUGACCCAGAAACUCUAAUCCUAGCUAUUAACCUCAGAAAUAAAAACACAUUACCAUAAUAAAUCCUUGAAUAAGAAUAUUCACGACAUUCUAAAAGUGGGUCAAGCAUGGUGCUUUGUUAGACGCCUGUCAUCCUAGCACUUAGAAGGCAGAAGGGAGGUGGAGUUGAGAGUUCAAGGCCAACCUGGGAUUUUAUAGUAAGUUCCAGGCUAGCCUGGGCUACACAACCAAACCUUAUCUCCAACAAUCAACAGGCUCGGGGUGUAAUUCAGUAAUAGAGCAAUUGUCUAGUGUGGCCAAGGCUUUGUGUUUGAGCCCUAGCACAGUAAAUAAAAACAAUAAAAACUCCUCCUAAGUCAACAACAAAACAAAAAAGCAAGUCAGUGAACAUAUAAACUGGUCAGGGCAUACCACAGCGUGCCAGGGCAGAUGGCAUAGUAUUUAGGAUGUGCAGUCCCAUCGGUGAAUGCCAAGCAUGUGAAUAAAUGAAGCUGGAUGCUAAAGGCUGCAUAGUUAAGUUAUCCGUGAGAAAGAGUAAAACAGGAAACAUAUAUGUGUCAUGGUGGCAGAAAUCAAAUCAAGGCUGAUUCUAGGGGAGAGAUUGGGAAGUGUGAAGAUCUUCCUGGGCGUGAGAUGUCUGUCUUGUGUUUUCCCGUGUUCAUCAAAACUCAACAGAGGCUCAGAGACACGGAUUGGUAGUGGAGCCCUUGCCUAGCAGAAGCAAGGUCACGUGCCCCAUCUCUAGCACAGCAAAAGCAAGCACACAGACAGAACCUCUGCAUUCAUCUUAUGUAAAUCCCCAUGAUAAGAAUGUGAUGCAAAGGCCAUUUUCCCUUACCGACCUUUAAAUCACAGGUAGCAAAUAUAAUGGUAUAACAUUAUCUUUUCAAAAAGGUAUAUUUAUGUUUAUUUUGUGUGUAUGAGGGUCAGCCUACAUCUGCACAUGUGUACACUAUAUGCAUGCAGUGCCUGUGGAGGCCAGAAGACGCUGUCAGCUCCCCCUGCAACUGGAGUGACAGGUAGUUGGGAAUUGCUACUUAGGUGCUGGAAACUGAGUCCCAGUCUUCUGCAAGAACCCCAAUGCUCUUAGCUUCUGAGCCAUCUCUCCAUCCCCCAAACUGUCUUACAGUGGGGUGGGAGUGCCAUGAUACAUCUACAGGAGGAAACCAAACCUAACCCGUUCAGCAGGCGCUGUGCGCUCCUAAUGUGUUAUGCGUCAGCACCUGCUCUUGAGCUCACACUAUCUCCUUGGGCAUUAAGCCUUCAAAGAAAGCCACCGGGCGAGAGAGAUUUGGGCCACCCCUGCCCUGGGCCUUGGAAUAGCUAUCGUAGUGAUGUCCAGAAAAAGCAAGCACCAUUGUUGUCUGUUUGUUGUGUCCUCUGAAGCUUGAGCCUACGGAACAAUCACCAGCAGACUUCAAAAGCUGGGAGUCAUCUUGGUUAUCUCUCGAAGAAGCCCAGCUUAGCCUUUGCCCUGUCUGUGACAUCUGUGACAUCAAAGACGCUUUCAUUGCAUGACCAUCUGCCACGGUGGUGUCCAACAGGCUCUCUCUGGAAGGUUUACAAGGGAUCAGACUGGAUGAUGAGUCAGCCUUCCUCUGGACUCUCUUACCCAUCCUUUCUCCUCCUGGCUUGGCCCAGGGGUCCCUGGGUAGGGUGGCCUGAGUUCUCUGGCUUGUCUGGAUAUGGUCUGGCUUGGCUCUGCUGUACUGAGACUUGAAUCUAAGCUCCCAGCCUGCCUCUUGAAGCAGCUCCAUCAGACUAGGCCUGGGAAGGGAAGGGCUAUCCGUGUGUUUAUAUUUAUGUGUGUGUGUGUGUUGGGGGGGGGGUCACUGUGGUAAUUUUCAUUGACUGAAGAGCAUAUCUGCUCACUGACAGAGCAUGACCAGUAACGAUCAGCCUGGAUCCUGGUCUUCCGCGUGUCUGUCCUUUUACCUGCAUGUCCUGAGUGCUACUCUAAGGUUUUGGAUCAGAACCCACUUCUUAUGGUUCUGCUUUCCUUGUGUCCCUUGGAAAGCACUGCAUCCUAAAACAGUAUAAAAAAGUGGCGUGAGUGUGUGUGUGUGUGUGUGUGUGUGUGUGUGUGUGUGUGUGUGUGUUUAAAUGAGGACAGUAGAUGAAUCAAUUGGUAGACAAAAGUGGAAUGAAAUGUUGCACCCUAGUUCUGUGGCUCCUUGCUGGUGCCCACUUGGUGGCUUUCAGCUGUCACAUCUCUCCACUCAUGCGCAGACGUGAAAUUUCAGACUAGUUAGGAUUCUGGAGAUGGGCUUGCGGAUGGAGCUGAAGACCCUAGCUUUUUGUAAGACUGCUUUGUUGGUUUUUUUUUUUUUCCCCUUCCACUUUUUUUUUUUUUUUAAUGUAACAGGGUCCAAAGUUUACGUCCAUUUAGCUGGCCUUCUCCGUGGUAAGAGCUAUUUUAUAAGGUGGCCGAAGGAGUGAAAGUUAUCAGCGGGGCUGGGUAAUGUAAAGUAUUUAUCAAUGGAUGUGCACAGCCCAGCCUGGAGGUGUAAGACGUGGGGCUGUGCUCAGGCAGAGCUGCUGCCGAUUCGAGCCUUCUCUGCAGUGAAGCAUAAUUCAUGCUGCUGUUAGCCCUUAAAACAGGAAAUAAUAUACCCAUUUAACUCAAUCACAAUUUAUAUUACAUGUGCAUAUUUCUAAACAAAUGAUGUAGAGGGGAGAGCUUGGUAGCAAUAAUAUUUAUGAAUUACACUUUUAGUUAGCAAAGGAAAUGUGUGACCUCUUACAUUUGGUUUGACAUUUGAAUUUGGCGUUCAGUGUAUUUGACAGACGUGAUGGAUACUCAUUAGCUCCGCGUAUAAACAGGAAGUGCUUCCACGGUGAACAGUUAUUAAUGCAGGGCAUCCUGAAUCCGAAGGCUCGGCUGCUUAUUCAGCUCUAGGCUGUGACAUUUAAUUUCUCUCUU